GCUAUUCUUGCGCAGGGUGUCUUAUUUCUGCAUCAACGGCUGGGAUAGUAAUAUGGUCUCCUCUGAUCAUUUGAUGGAUUUUCGCAUGGCGGAUAAAAUAGAAGUGAUCGCUUAAUCCUGUGAUUAUAUGGAUUGGUCAGGAAGCAUCCUAUUCCGUCGGUUGUGUCAUGCACGGACGGUUGAGAGAGAGAGAUAUAUACUGGUGAACAAAGUGCAAGAUGUGGCGUGGACGUCCUGUCCAUGGUGGGAGGCGUAACAUAUCAUCGAUUGUAGACGUUCCCCUAUUGCUUGAACUGUCGAAACUUUGGAAGAGGCUUUACCGCUGCCUGUGGGUGCCUAAAGAAAGGAACUUAUGCCCGUGUUUCCAAUCUGGAAUGCAGAAUCUUCGGCAAGUGAACGGUACCAUGGCAAUUCUCGAGGAUGUGGCCGGAUUCUGGUCUGAAAGUUCGACGAAAUCAUUCAUGUUCUCGUAUCCUAGAGCUGCGGCAGCAUCCUCAUUCUUGACGACCAUGUUGUGCAUGAUCACAUAACAUGGCAUGAGCUCCUAUAUGGUCUUCGGAUACCAUGGUUUAGCAGGACUACGAACAACUGUAAAAUGGGCUUACAGAAUUUCAAAUGCUCUCCCAACAUCAUUUCUAGCUGAUUUUUGUCUUGGGCAAAGUGAGAAUUGUUUUUUGACUAACUGGAUUAGAGAUGAUGUUGACAAAGAUUGCCCAUGGUGUAUAGACAACCAGAUAGUAGCUCAUAUUGUAUUCAUGUCCGUUGCCAGUAUAGUGAUAAGGAGGAGUGUUUCCUUCAGCCAGCCACGACUCAAUAUAGUGCUCGUAUAUGUACUCUAAUUCCGAAUCUAUUGCUUGCAAGAAGAAGAGACAACUUUUUCUUUAACUU